rnacentral:rRNA from 1 species
AACGCGAAGAACCUUACCUGGGUUUGACAUCCUUGGAUCACUCUAGAGAUAGAGCUUCCCCUUCGGGGGCCAAGAGACAGGUGCUGCAUGGCUGUCGUCAGCUCGUAUCGUGAGAUGUCGGGUUAAGUCCCUUAACGAGCGCAACCCUUAUCCCUAGUUGCCAUCAUUUAGUUGGGCACUCUACGGAGACUGCCGGUGUUAAACCGGAGGAAGGUGGGGAUGACGUCAAGUCCUCAUGGCCUUUAUAUCCAGGGCUACACACGUGCUACAAUGGCCGGUACAAAGAGUUGCCAACCUGCAAAGGGGAGCUAAUCUCAGAAAGCCGGUCUCAGUUCGGAUUGAAGUCUGCAAUUCGACUUCAUGAAGCUGGAAUCGCUAGUAAUCGCGGAUCAGAACGCCGCGGUGAAUACGUUCCCGGGCCUUGUACACACCGGUAUCUC